CCAGGGAUCAGACCUGCAUCUCGUCUCCUGCGUUAGCAGGCGGAUUCUUCACCACUGAGCCACCGGGGAAGCCCUAAGAUAGCUUCGCUGUCACCGGAAGAGAAGCCUGGGAGGUGGUCCUGGCUCAGGAUCUGGGGCAUCCUCUGGUCUUCUCCACACUGGAGACACGGGGAUGUUGCUAAAGAGCCCCAGCCCACCAUCUGGCUCCCCACGUUUUCUUUUUCUGGGGCAUCAGAAAAGAGGAUAGGGGAUGAGGGUUGGGGGGUCGUUGAGCAGAAAGAUAACUGAGGUUGGGCCUUCUGCUUCCCAUCCUCUGUCUCAAACUGAGGGUGGUUACUGCACUUUGGGUGAAUGUCUGGACUGGGAGGACCCUGGGACCCAGAGGGAGGGGCCGCCGGUCCAGCAUGACACGGGAUGGCAGAGCUGGGAUCAGAUGUCCGGCUUCUCGCCCUGCUCCAUGCGCUCACUCAAGCUGAGCUUGCCCUGCUCUCUCUGGGGUCCCAUGCUGCUGUUGGCGGGGAACAGGGAGGUGUUCUGGAAAGUGAAAGGUUUUCUAGGGUGGGGGGAAGGGAGGUGGGGGUGGUGCACCUGGGCCCAGCCUCCCUGGGUCCCAGGCCAGGGCUGUCUCCUUAGCAGAGAGGUCUGGCCCGGGCUAGGGAGGGGGCUUGGGUGUGGUUUUCUCCUGUGUUGCGGUUGGCUCUUUUGUCUUCCAGGAUGGGCCUGUGGGGGUCUCCGUGGGGUAGGAGCUGGGAUCAGGGCACUGCCAGGUCCACGGCACAGAUUUCAGCGCGUGCCUUCAUUCAGCGCAGAUGUGGACUGAGCGCCUUCUCCCGGAUAGAAACUGAGGAUUCGGAGGUCAGCGUGAGAUGUGGUCCUGCCCUCUCAGAUCUUCGUGAAUGUCGAGCCUCCCAAGGACUCCGAAGGCCCUUUCUGCCCACCUGGACCCCUGCUUCUCAUCUGCCCGUGAUGUCCGCAGGGCCAGCUCUGGGCGCUCUCUGUUGCUUCCAUUACCCCCUGCUGGCCCUGUCAAGGCAGCGCUGCCCCAGCUGUGUCUCUAGGACUCCUGGCCCGCUCUCCUCCUGGACUCUGGCAGUGGUGAUACAGGGAGCAGUCUUCGCUGGUUUUCUGGAACCCUGGACAGCUCCCCGAAGAUCUCAUCCUUCCUAACUCCUGGGCCUCCCCUGGAUAAAGGCCCCUCCUGGUUGGUGCUCGGCCGAGGACAGUGGCGGAGCGUGAGGGAGGCUGGCAGCCUACCAUCCAUCCCCUCUGCAUCUGCCUGGACCUGCCUGCCUGUCCCCGCCCCUGUCCAGGACUGGGGGCCCUUCCUGACUCUGUGAAGACCUCACUGCUCCUCCCAUCCCCGCCGGUGACCGGGUGGAGCUCGGCCUGGGCCCAGGCCCCACUGACCAUACCCUUGGCAAGGCUGGGUCUCACAGGACCUGCAGGACGGGGGCAGGAACCUGUGGAUGGGUGUCAGGGACGAGCUGCCAGUGGGGUGGAGUGGGGACGAAGCUCGGGGAGUCGGUGGGCUGGAGUCUGUCUUAUGCUCUUUAUGUGUGAGUGAUUCUCAUUUUUCUGGAGGCUUCUGGGGUUCUUCUUCCUAGCUUCUCUCCCUGAUGGUCACCAGGAGGAGGCAGUCUAGGCCUCAGGGGAGCUUGGGCCUUCCCCUAAUGCUGUGGAGCUCUGGGAGAGGUUAUCCUGAAAGGAGAGGGUUUCCAAGAGAGGAGAAGACCCCAGCCAGGGGGCUUGUGAGGGAGACAGAUCCUGGGCCUGGCUCCUGACAUUCAAAGGGAACAGUCUGGAAUCAGCCUCACCCUGGCCCAGACUCAGACUCCUGCUCCUGGUCACCCCCAUCCCUGGGAAGCAGAGGCGGGCAGGGUAGGCUAUGCACAGGGACAGCUUCCCCAUCACAGGGCAGUGGGCUCGCUCACAUGCCCUCCCCUUCUCCAGUCCCCCCGGGGGGCCAGCCUCAGUGCUUGCAGGAGGGUGGCUAUGGCCUUCCCUGGAGAAGCUCAAGAGCCAGACGUCCUUUUCCUGGGGCAGGAAGGGACGCUGCCAUAACAGAACUCCACUCCUGGAUGGCUGAACUGCAGAAAUGUAUUUUCUUGUAGUUCUGGAGGCUGGAAGUCCAAGACCAAGGUGGCAGGGAUGGUUUGUGGUGAGGCAUAUCUCCUUGGCCGGCAGAUAGAACCUUCUUGCUGUGUUCUCACAUGGCCUUCUCUCUGCAUACGCAGAGAGAGAGUGUGUGUUUGAGAGGAGAGAAAGAGAUAUCAGGCAUCUCUUCCCUUUCCUGUAAGGGCACCAGUCCUAUGGGAUUAGGGCCUCAUCCUUAUGACCUCAUUUAGCCUUAAUACCUAUGCCAAAUCCCUACCUCCAAAUAUAGUCACACUGGGGCUAUGAAUUUAGAGGGAGACACAAUUCAGUCCAUAGCAGGUGGUCACCACAAACCUGGAAGCUAGAGCCAUCUCCCCUUUAGAAUUCCCACCCCCGAUGGGGAGGGGAAGGAGCAGCAGAGACAUGGGAAGCAGAAACGGUGCGGCAGGUCCUGUGCGAUGGUGGGGCCUGGGAGCCUGGGAGAGACACAGGACUGGCCGAACCCAGAGCAGUGGAGAGGAGCCCCCGGGAGAGGAGGGUCCUGUGAAAAGCCUGGGCUUUGAGCCUGAGGGUUAUGCUCUGAGGUGCAACCUUGGGCAAGUCACGUCACCCCUGUGAGUCCGAUUGCCACGCUGAAGCAGGAACCAUCAGCUCACCCGGGGGGCAGGGCACAGGGAGAAGUCAGUGAGGUCUCGCGGCUGGCACAGCGCCUGACUCUUAGUAGGUGCUCAGUAAACACUCCCGUCCGUCUGGGAGUUUGGACUUAGGGCUUCUCUCUUUUGGGCACCCUGGACUGUAAGCUCUGCAUCUUUGAUCCAGAGGUGUUUCUGAGCAGUGCUUUCCCAGCUCUUUCUGUUUGUUUGUUUUUGGCUAUAUGGGGUGGCAUGUGGGAUCUUAGUUCCUGGACAAGGGGUCGAACCUGUGCCCAUGGUGCUGAGAGUGCAGUCUUAACCCCUGGACUGUCAGGGAAGCCUUUCCCUCUCAUGGUUUUAAUAUCCCUUUCUAAUCAGGUCAAGGAAUCCACUGCCUGGCAUGGCCCCCGCAGUAGCUCUGAAUGCUUCCUGGGGAAUUUAGUAUCUACCCGUCUCAUCAGAAUUGAGCACCUGCUGUGAGUCCUUCCCCGUGCUGCUCAUUUGAGGGGGACAGAAGUACAGAUAUGGCCACGAUUCAAGCCGGCAGGGUUUCACAGCCAUGCCAAGUGGGAGGAAGCCAGUCCACACAGAGAAUGAGCGGAUGGGCAGAAAACAGUCUCCUGAGGCACAGGUUCUGAGGGCACGGGUGGGUGGGAGGGAGCGAGAGCCCAGAGUAGGCUGGAAAGGCUUCCUAGGGAGGCAGAACCAGUCAGGACCUUGGGAGGAUGAGAAGGAUGUGGCUUAAAUGAGAGUUUUCCAAGGGAAGUUAGGUAAGCGAUUCCCAAAGUAAGUUCUAAGGGAUGUCACUGCUCUUAAAAAAAAAAAAAAUUAAAACAGUAGGUUUCUGUAGUGCAGGACUUAUCAGAGCCUGUAAAAGCACUGAUGGGAACUGUGAAUACUCAAGGACAGACAGAGGACUAAGUAUUUUCCCCCAAGCUUUACUGGCAACAAAACCCUUUUCUUAUGGAGCAUCAUUUAGAACCGCAGAGAGUCCAGGCUGGGGUUUCCGUGGGAGAAUGAUAACCGUGAUAGGAGAUGACAAAACUAGGGCACACUCGGGCUCCGGAGCAGCAGCUGGCAAGGCAGCGCUUUCCCUGGGCCGGCGAGUCAGACUCGGCUGCAGGAGUCAGGGGAGCUCUACUCGGCUGGAGCGUUUGUGGGAAGGGCCGGCCAGCUGCUGGGGUAGCCGGAUGCCUGGCGGUGGGGGACAGAGGGAGCUGUCCACUGGAGCCAGUGACUCUGGGGUAUCAGACCUCUUGUGAGAAGAUGCUGGUAUGUGUGUGUGUGCGUGUGCCUGAGUGUGACAGGAUCCAGCCUUCUGGGAAGCAGUGACCAGGACCAGGCAGGGGGUCUUUCCAGCCAGGACCAGCAGGGUCCAUUUUCGGGGGAUCUGAAGUGGCUGGGGGAGGGGCCCUGAGGACCACCGACGAGAAGCAGGGACGCCGAUUCUGUUGGGCAGGGUUCACGUGGACAGUCUUUUCCCGGGGGCGGGGCUGAGGCACUGGCGGCAGACCCCCUGCCCUGGUCAGGCCCGGCUCCCUGGCUGGUGGGGGCGGGCGGCCUCUGGAGAUGCGGCUGGGGCAGUGUUGCAUGGUGGGAUUAACCUACUAACCCAGGGCUCGGCCGGGACGCUGUGGCCUGUGGCGAGGUGCCUGGCCUUCUGCCAACCAACUAACCCACUAACCAGGCCCGAGCAUGCCCUACUAACCACCGCCCCCCCCGCCCCCCCGCCCCUCGCAGCCAGAUCCUACUAACCUCGCAGCUCACGGGCCUUCCCAGGGGUGCGGAUGUGGGGGCAGACGAGGCUCCGGAAGGCCCUGCCCGUGGCCUGGGAUCUCUGUGCAGACCCACAUUCCAGGACCGGGCGCGCAAACAGGACUUGCCAACUCUGCCGCUUCCUGCUUGGGGUGGGGGGCGGCGACUUGGAGAGCGAGUCACCCCGCCUCUCUGAGUCCGUUUCCUCAGCAGUGGAAUGGGAGGCCACCUCCCAGGUGGCCGUGAGCAUUCCCAGGAGGAUAGAGUUCUUGACACAUGGCAGAUACUUAAUCCACAUUUAUGCGAGGUGGGGGCGGGAGGCCCAGAAAACUGGACCCAUCGGGUCCCCUGGCAGGCCCUGGUCCCUCUAGGUGGUUUGCACACAGACCCCUCUGCCUGGGGCCAGACACUUGCUUUGAACCCUUAACUGUGUCUUUCCCCACACUCUUCCUCUCCUCAGCUUUUUCCCUAUAGGCAGUUCUUUUGUUCAAUUACUAACCCGUCUAACCCCGGGGCGGGGGGGCCUCAACUGCACCCCGACCACCCCCCCCUAACCAACUAACGGACCCGAGUGUGUUCUUCCUUUUCUCCUAGCGAUUCCUGUGUGUGUCUGCUGAGGUGCCCCUGUCCGCUGGUGCUGUGCUCUGACUUACUAACCCAGUCCCUACUAACCCUCUUUUCUCUUCUUACUAACCCCAGCCCUGCCGAGCUCUGGGCCCCUGUGGGGGGGAUAGUUCCCCCCUCCUUUUGGCAAGCAGACGUCCUAGGCUGGUCCUGCAGACAGAUGCCCUACUUUGCUGCCCCGAUUGGCUGUGAGUUCAGAGUCCCCUGGGUCAGGUCUGAGGGGGGCGAAGGCCCGGAGGAAAAGGGGCUCCUGCGGUUCCAGAGGGAGGCCGGCCUCUGAGCACAGCGUCUCUCCUCUGCGCAGAGUCUGGGGGCCACUGGGAGUUGGCCGGAGCAGGGCAAUCUCUGCGGUGUGAAGGUGGAGGCCUGCAGGUCUCCUUCCAGUCAAGGGAGAGGAGAGAAGGGGCCUCUGGGUCGUCCUUCCGAGGGAAGUGGGGGCAGAGGUUCUUACUGGGCAAGUGGCUGAUAGAGGCGGGGCGCCACUGAGGGGCGUGUCCUGCACAGGAAGUCAGCAAAGGGGGCGUGUCCCUCAAGGGAGUUAGUAAAGGGGCUUGUCCCUCGCCGGAUGUCAGUAAGUGAUGACUUCCUCCGCAUUGCAAGUCACUGAAAGGGUCUUAACCUCGGUGGAAAUCACUGAGGGCAGCGUUUGGUAUAGGAAGUCAGACAAAGGGGGCAUUUCCUAUAUUUGAAGAAUGGGAAGAGGGGUAUUUGUUACACCGUUAGUCAGUGAGAGGGGGAUUUCUGCAUUAUCGCAAGGCGGUGAAGAGGAAUGACCAAGGAGAUGAGUGACGGGGGCCGUUCAUACGACAGGAAGUUAGCUAGAGGGGCCCUUCUCCACGCCUGGAGCUGCGAGAUCCCGGUUUCCCACGUCAGAAGUAGGUGUGGUCCAUUUUCCCUACAGAUGCCUUUGAGAAGGGCAGUCCCCACUGGGAAGGGCAGUCCACACUGGGAAGCUUGAGAAAACAGCAGAUCUGAAGUUUGUGAAGAAAGCAGGUCUUGGGUAGGGGGUCUGCGGGAGAAAGCGGGAAGCAACCAAUGAACCCCCGGCGCCCACAGGGCCCUGCACGCCUUGGGCCAGUCAGAAAUUCACCCUGGCUCCUUGUUCUUUUCACCCCCAUGUCCCUGCCCCAGCCUGUCUACCCCAGAGCCCGCCAGCCGCUAAGCCAGGGCCACACCUGGGGGUGAUUUUAUGCCUCACCUCCAGUAGGCACCUUGGUCUCUUUGGGCUAAUCUCUGGCUCCUCUGCACUAACUCUUGCUCCCACCCAGCUAAUCCUUGCCUCGCCCUGGCUGCCCCAGGGGCUGACCAUUAACAGCCAGCCCAUCUUGGGGGGCUCCAGGCUCCUGGCCUGGCUCUGACCUGCUCUUAAUUAACCUCUCCUUCACCUGACUAACUCCUGCCCCCUGAUCUGUUCCUCUCAGCAGAAACUAACGGCUUGUGGAUUUCUUUCUGACUAACAACAGGUCUAACACUCCUCGUCACUAUUACUAUUAACAGCUUGGAUGUCGGCAUGGCUGGGACUUGACUAACACGGGGAGAGGCGGAGCUAGUCGUGUGGGCCGUAGUGACGGCUCUGGGGAAGAGCCAGCUGAAGUCAGGAAGACCUCGGUGCUCAAAAGGAGAUGCCGGGGCUGGGCUGUGGCUCAGGCCAAAUGGAGGAGUGGUGUCUGCUGUGGGGUGGGUGGGGUGGUGGUGGGUGGUCAGAAGCAUACUCAGCCUUCCAAGAUUUUGGCCGCUAGACAUAUCCUAUUAACCCCUUAUAACCUGCAUUCAUAUUCUGUUUCUUUUAUACAAUAGCCUGAUAGUUGUAUUAGUGCCUGCAGCUUUUGUAGCCCCCCACCCCCCCGCCCCAAAGGCCUGUCUAGUGUGUAGAGAGGAGAUGCCAUUGUAAUUGGAGUCAUCAGUCACCAGGUGAGAGUCUAGAGUCCUUGAUUUGGGGACUUCAGAGUUUGGAAGCCUUAAGACAGAAAACUUCAGGUUACAACUCCAUCACCCAUUGACACCUUGGUGUAAAUUAGCUCAGCUUUCUCUUCUAACUUCUGUGCAACUAGCUGCCCUGGGAGGACCAGAAUGUGGCUGGAAGGGAGUCUCUUCAGGGCUGGGGGAGGCUCCUCUGGGAACAGAGGAGAAGCUGGAGUCCGGGGGUUCCUGGGUGGCUGUAAGAGGGGAAACCAGGAGGCUGGGGAGGGGGGAUAAGAGGGGCUGUUUUGCCGGUUUCGUCUGGUAGUCAGGGUCUGUGGGAGAGGACAGCUUAUAGCAGAGCCUGGAGGAUUGGAUCAGAACAGGGGGAGGGUCAGAGUCCUGCCUGGAGGCUUUGCGGGCAGUUUGCUUGAGUCAUUGAAUGCUGCUGUGGGGUUGAGAGCCUCUCUGACAGUCAGAGACUCAGAGCUAAACUCGUGGAGCCGCUGGUGAGGUCUGAAGGGUGAUCCAGAGGCCUGAGCUGCAAAGGGAAGGCGAGAGGACACAUCAGAACCUGGGAAGAGGGGGAGCCUGCAUGGAGGAAGCACAUGCCUGCUGCCCUCUAGUGGCCGCCUCGCUUCAUUUCACUGGUAACAUUUCCCAUUCUGGAGGGCCUCUUUAUUCAACUGCAAAGACCUGAUGAUGCUGAGGACCUACUAUGUGCCCGGCACUGCUCUGGGUCUUGGACCCACGCACAGGUUUUUCCAUAGUGCUUGAUUAGCUUGGUGGGGGAGACAGAAAUAAAACAGGUAAUGCAGUGAGGUGGGCACCAUGAUGGGGGUGAUGGGCCUGUGGAAGUGCCCAGGAGGCAAAGGAUGAGAAACACCUGCUGCGUGCCAGGGGCGGUGCUAGGCAUCAGGGAUGAGUGGUGAUUAAACAUCAUACAACCUUCAGGAGCUUUAAUGCUAGCGUAUUAAAGCAUUAUUAAGCUUUAAUGCUAUGCUUAGAGCGGGUGUGGGGUAGAGUGGGCUGUGGGCCACCAGUAGAUUUUCUGAAGAGGAAGGCAUCUAAGCGGAGCCCUGGCUGGGCAGAAUGUGGUGGCAAGAAGGGAGGACACAGAGUUCUGGGGGUCAGAGAGGACCGAAGAAGUUCUGGAAGGGUCGUAGGGGACGAAGCGGGAGACAGAGGGGAAGUGGACACAUACCGGAUGGUAUUGCCAGGGAGUUUAUCCUAAGGGCAAUGGUUGGGGGGGGGGUGGUUGUGGAUGUGAUCUGAGGAGGGGAGAUGUUAGAUUUCAGUUCUAGGCUGACAACGUGACUGUUUCAGCCUAGGUGGAAUUCUGAGAUGCUGGUAACAUGUUCUCGCCAAAUUUUAGGAAACUGGUUAGAACUUCUGGAAAGGUGGCGGAUCCUCAGAUCCAUCUUAAGAUAAAGAGGGCCGUGUUCCUGCCAGGCAGGGGCCUGGCUGAGGGGACAGACAGGUUGGAGGAACAGUCUUAAAAGCAUGUCGUCCCAAGCCCCUGGAAUGGUCAUGCUGGUCUGGGGGAAGACCUGAGGGGACGUGGUCCUGGGGCUGGAAGUCCACAGGCGAGUCUCACUGGCGAGGGACCCUGUUAGUCCCGUGUGGCUGCAAGGGGCAUGCAGGCUUGGAGGAAGCUUCCAAGAGGCUGGUCCCAGGGAGGGAAAAAUGUGUCUUGGUGGGUAACGAACCUUAUGGAGACAGAAGGAUUGGGAGUAGGCCACCUUUGAGACUGAGGAUGGUGGUGGGAUUCUGGGAUUCUGUGUGUGAGUGUGUGUGUUUGUCCUUGACUUACUACUAGAGGAAGCCGAGCCCAGGAAGGCAAUUCUGUUCUCCACCCCAGAGCCCGGCCUGCCGAUGCUCACUCUAGCCUGGAUUCCUCUGAGCAUCAAGCUCGCUGGGAGCUGUACCUCAGGAGCCCGGGAGCUGGCCUCCCAGCUGGAAGAGGCGACUCAAUCCUUUAACAGCCAGUGUGGAGGGAGAGGCCACGGUGGUCCCUGCUGGAGGGCUGUGCUUGCGUAGAUAUUGAUAUUGCACACACUGAGCUGGGGGAUUCCCUGGGGGGGACUGGUCCCAUCCCCACAAAAGACCCCAAAGGCCCUCUUGAGCAUCUACCCAGGGGACCCACUGUUUUGCUUGAAGAGACUAGAGAGGAUGCUUUCCAUGUCACUGCCUCCCGGGGAUGCAAACUGUGGGGACGGAAAUUCUGCUGUUGAUUAAACAUACUUUUAUGUGUAUCCAGCAA